rnacentral:rRNA from 1 species
AUGCGCCCCGGCCGUAUGCGGAACGGCUCUUGCUGGUCCGCCGCUCGGCUCGGGGUGUGGACUGUUGUCGGCCGCGCCGGCGGCCAAAGCCCGGGGCCCUAG